rnacentral:rRNA from 1 species
GACGAACGCUGGCGGCGUGCUUAACACAUGCAAGUCGAACGGGAGCCUUUAUUUCGGUAAAGGUGAGAGUGGCAAACGGGUGAGUAACACGUAGGCAACCUGCCGACAGGAUGGGGACAACAUUCCGAAAGGAAUGCUAAUACCGAAUGAAGUCACCGGAGGGCAUCCUCUGGUGAUGAAAGAUGGCCUCUGAAUAUGCUAUCGCCUGUCGAUGGGCCUGCGUCUGAUUAGCCAGUUGGCGGGGUAACGGCCCACCAAAGCGACGAUCAGUAGCCGGUCUGAGAGGAUGAACGGCCACAUUGGGACUGAGACACGGCCCAGACUCCUACGGGAGGCAGCAGUGGGGAAUCUUCCACAAUGGGCGAAAGCCUGAUGGAGCAACGCCGCGUGAGUGAAGAAGGUCUUCGGAUCGUAAAGCUCUGUUGCACGGGACGAAAACUGGGUUUGAGAAUAUUGAACCCGGGGACG